AGCUAUGGCUCAUGCUGGACUUGUAUUUACAUUUUUCAUUAUUUAUGGUGUUGGUAAAUUGCUUGAAGAGUAUUUGAGAGCUAUGUUAUGGGCUGUGCUUUGUUCAAUUCCAUUAAGGGGAAUUCAACAAACCCUUGUUGCAUUUUGGUCUGAACCUUUGAAGUUAGGUCUUACUGAGACUAUUUUAGCUGUCCCUGUAGCUGUUUUCAGUGUUUUUCUAGGGACCCUUGUUGAUAUUAAAGAGAAGAUUUUUAGGGUUGUUCUUAGGAGGCCUAAAGGUAACACGACGAGGCGUCAUACGAGUGGAUUUUUCGUGUUGUUGAGGUGGCUUAUGUCUUUUGGGGUGUUUGUGAUUGCUUAUGAGCAGAUUGGUGGGAUGGGAUCAGUUGCACUUCUUGCAUUGGGAUUUAUGUUUUCUGCUAAUAGUGUGGAUUCAACUAUGAAUGCAGUAACAUCUUUAAGAAGUCAUAGCUUUCGUAGGUUUGCUAUUUCUGCUUUCUUUACUAGAGGGAUAUUGAAGAAGUUGAAGACGAUUGUGGCGAUUGGGUUGAUUGUUGGAUUGAGUGUGGGUUCGUUAGCAGGUAUGAUUUUCUUCUCAUAUAAGAUUGGUAUGGAGGGGAAAGAUGCUGUUAUUGCGUUGAAAUCCCAUGUAGAGGAGAGUAAUUAUGCUGAGAAAAUUGGCGUUAAGCAAUGGAUGGAUGAAAAUGAUGUCCCCGCUAUGGUCGAUAAGUACAGUAAUCAAUUGUAUGAGACUGUAUUCUACCAGCUAGAUAGCUAUGCUAAGCAAUAUAAUAUGACUGAGUUUGUUUCCGG
rnacentral:misc_RNA from 1 species